AAUCACUGAUCAUGAAAACACAGAUGAACACAUCAGAAUACAUACAGAAAUACCCCAGAUUUCUACAGUCCCCCCUCUUGAUCAAUUAAAAAACACAGAUUUUUAUAGAUCAUACAAAACAAAUAAAAGGAGUCUGAUGUGGUCUAAAGAACAGAGGACAAACCAAGACAAGAUUACUUCUCUAGCACUUCGAAAAGGAGGAAGUGCCGGUGUCUUAAAAGAAAAACAUAAUAACUGAUUUCGUUCCGGAGGAUUGUCUCACACAUAAAAAAAAUUAAAAAGGAAAGGAAUCAAACCCACAUCCUCGGUUCAUCCCGAGGCUGGGCAGGAGGUACUCUAACAGGGGCCAAUCUUGGAUUGGUAGUGGUGGCACGCUUAAUGAUACACAACACCACUUGGAUUGCUAAGUAGAU